GUCGGAACAAUAAAACAAAAGAAAUUCUUAGAUCUUAAAGAUACAUAAAAACUAGAAGAAAAAAAAUAGAAUUGUGGCCAAGUGUAGUAUCCUACAGUAGAAAAAGUUGCAGGGAAGACAAAAGAAGGUAGAGCUUGAAGACAUGAGAAGCUGUUCUAAAGCCUGAAACACGUUUGUGGAAGAAAAGAAUAGACCAACUCUAAGCAGCUUUAGGCUUGGGUGUCCUCUUCUUCAGGUUGCUGCUCUUUGAGGAGGUCGUCGUCCUCGAAUUCUUCAUUCCGAUGAAAAAUAGCAAUGCCCCGAGAAGCGCAACACUCUGCGAUAAAACAUUACAAUAUGCCAUAAGAGGACCAUUUUUUAUUGUCAGGGCAAACGCAAAGCUAAAUGAAGAGAGGUGUGUUUUAGACAAAACCUGCAAGAACUCGGUCAACAGAAGAGAGAAUUGGCGGUCCUCGGGUCCAUAGUUGUAGAAAUCAUAUAAGAUGGGACUAACAACCACCAAGUAGAAAGCCUACCAAACAAAGUUAAAUCAAAAUCCAAAGUCAAUACAAACAAAACAACUAAGUUUUGAAUAUUUAUAAAUAGAGAAAAGAAGAAGUCCUAACCAGAAGAUAGGCACCAAAGAUGUUGCCAACAACAAAGAGUAAGCCUCCUAGCCCUUUCAGAGCAACAAUUGCCGAUACGACUUGCUUCACCUUUUUAAACAGCAUAAGAGACAUGAAGACAAGACAAACAUAGGUUUAAGCAAUCAACAAAAACCAGUAACAAUAUAUAAUACUUAGAAAACUGGCCUUCGUUGUACUAUUUUUAUGAAUUCAUUUUUGUGAUAAAGUAGAUUAACAAAAUUUACCCGAUCAUCACAAAAUCUUGUAUUAUAUAUUAUGGUUUUUUCCCCAUAAUUUCAUCUUGGAUUUUCAUGAGUUCAAUACUAUAUACGAAAAAACAACGUCAAACCCAACAUACAUCUUGCAUAAAGAUAAAAAUCAAUAUAUAUUGCUAUUUGUUCUAUAGUAUAACAUGUCUCUAAUUCUUUUUGAUAAAAAAAAACAUUUCUCUAUUUGUUUGCAAGAAAAUUAACGCACCUACUAACAAUAUAUAAUACUUAGAAAACUGGCCUUCGUUGUACUAUUUUUAUGAAUUCAUUUUUGUGAUAAAGUAGAUUAACAAAAUUUACCCGAUCAUCACAAAAUCUUGUAUUAUAUAUUAUGGUUUUUUCCCCAUAAUUUCAUCUUGGAUUUUCAUGAGUUCAAUACUAUAUACGAAAAAACAACGUCAAACCCAACAUACAUCUUGCAUAAAGAUAAAAAUCAAUAUAUAUUGCUAUUUGUUCUAUAGUAUAACAUGUCUCUAAUUCUUUUUGAUAAAAAAAAACAUUUCUCUAUUUGUUUGCAAGAAAAUUAACGCACCUACUAACAAUAUAUAAUACUUAGAAAACUGGCCUUCGUUGUACUAUUUUUAUGAAUUCAUUUUUGUGAUAAAGUAGAUUAACAAAAUUUACCCGAUCAUCACAAAAUCUUGUAUUAUAUAUUAUGGUUUUUUCCCCAUAAUUUCAUCUUGGAUUUUCAUGAGUUCAAUACUAUAUACGAAAAAACAACGUCAAACCCAACAUACAUCUUGCAUAAAGAUAAAAAUCAAUAUAUAUUGCUAUUUGUUCUAUAGUAUAACAUGUCUCUAAUUCUUUUUGAUAAAAAAAAACAUUUCUCUAUUUGUUUGCAAGAAAAUUAACGCACCUACUAACAAUAUAUAAUACUUAGAAAACUGGCCUUCGUUGUACUAUUUUUAUGAAUUCAUUUUUGUGAUAAAGUAGAUUAACAAAAUUUACCCGAUCAUCACAAAAUCUUGUAUUAUAUAUUAUGGUUUUUUCCCCAUAAUUUCAUCUUGGAUUUUCAUGAGUUCAAUACUAUAUACGAAAAAACAACGUCAAACCCAACAUACAUCUUGCAUAAAGAUAAAAAUCAAUAUAUAUUGCUAUUUGUUCUAUAGUAUAACAUGUCUCUAAUUCUUUUUGAUAAAAAAAAACAUUUCUCUAUUUGUUUGCAAGAAAAUUAACGCACCUACUAACAAUAUAUAAUACUUAGAAAACUGGCCUUCGUUGUACUAUUUUUAUGAAUUCAUUUUUGUGAUAAAGUAGAUUAACAAAAUUUACCCGAUCAUCACAAAAUCUUGUAUUAUAUAUUAUGUUUUUUCCCAUAAUUUCAUCUUGGAUAUUUUCAUGAGUUCAAUACUAUAUACGAAGAAACAACGUCAACCCCAACAUACAUCUUGCAUAAAGAUAAAACUCAAUAUAUAUUGCUACGUACAUAACGUAUAAAAUAUAUAUAUGUUUAUAAAACCCAUAGGAUCGACAUAUAAAGUAUAUAUAGAUAUGCAUGUAUGUGGUAGCCCUAGUAUUAAUUAAGAGACGGUUAAUUUGGCCAUGCAAACGGCUUAUUCGACGACGGCGCUGGCUGGUAGUAAAACGGAGCGGCCGGGUGCUGCCACUUCUUGAAAAUUGGAGGCUUCUCCACCUCUUUUCCCCACCGUUGCUCAUCCCUCUUCGUCACCAUUGGUGGCUUCGGUGGCGGUGACUCCGUAGGUGAUAGAAGGGGAAUGGGCACUUUCCAAUUCGCUUCGGACGGGUUUAUCUUUAGAGGUGGUGGAGCCCGCCUCUGCAGCCUACUCGACUUCCGAUUCCCACCGCCAGAUAUAUUUCUCGCCGUGGAAGACAUCGCCGGUGUUUUUUGAUCUCCUUUGUUUAUAAUGUAUAUGAGUGGGGAGUAUGUGUGCUAUAUAUAGUGGGGUGUGAUCAAGUGUGUUUGGCUUGGAUUUUGGUUAAAACGGUCGAAUCUUUUACGAUUAGUUUUCCUUUUCUUUUCAAGUAUUUAAAGUAUUUUUCCUUUUGACUAGUAGACUAUUAGACUAAACUGAUCAAUUUAUGAGUUUGACUAUAUUCUCUUUUGCGAGGAUGAUAGGAACUCUUUUCCCCUCCUUUUCAUUUUUGGUUUCUAAAAAUAUUUUCUUUAGUAUUGUUGGAAAAUAUUAAGAAAUAAAUUAGUUUUUUUCAUAGUUUUGCUAACCAAAUUUUUGUAGGCUUCGAUCCAUUUUUUUAGUCUCCCUCUGACAAUACAACUUGUAAAUCUAUGGCAAUACGUGGGUUUCAAAGUAUAGUUUAGGUUGAUACAGUCGGGUGAAUCAACUGUUUUCAGCAGUUAACCAACUCUGGUAAUUGCAUUCAGCUUAUAAAAGAAAUAUCAAAAGAAAAAACUACUAACUAUUUUUCCAGUCAGUUUUUAGGUUUGGCAUUAUUCAUAACUUUUGUUAAUACCUAAUAAAUUUCUGUAUGUUUUUUAAAAGCAAAAGAAUGAUAAAGACCAUAUGAACUUUAGGACCAAGGAGAUAAUAUAACUUUUGUUUCUAUACCAACUUUAGACUAACCAAUCCCUUUAUUACCUAUUUUAAUUUCUGAGAUUUUGUAUGCCACAUAUAAUGGAAAGAAUCAUAUUCUAGUUUUAACCAAAAGGUAAUAUAUCUUUGAAUAAUUAAUCACUCUCUUAGUAUAAUUACCAUUGAAAUUAGCGGCUCAUAUUCUUCAGAAAUAACCUUUAGCAAAACCCAAGUCAUAUAUGACAAAAUUUUGAUGUGACAUUGUAUUUUCGCAGAUUAAGCUUGUCCAUUGGAUCACAACCAAUAUAAAAUAGAUGUGCAAAAAUUAAAAACUCUCGUAAAUACCACUUGUAAGUGUUUAAACGGUUUGUAAUGGACGGAUCACAUAACUCGCUUUGCGUAAACAAACUUUUUUGUUCAACAUUUAAUAAUUUUUGUUCCAUUUAUUUUCACAGUGACAUAAAUAAAAAUAAAAUAAAAGAUUGUAAACAGAUUAGUUUUAAUGAUAAAAAAUAAUGCAGCAAAAAAUUGGUUUAUGCUGCCAAAAAUUGUCGGAACAAAAAAAAUUAUGAUAAAAAAUACUGUCGGAACAAUAAAACAAAAGAAAUUCUUAGAUCUUAAAGAUACAUAAAAACUAGAAGAAAAAAAAUAGAAUUGUGGCCAAGUGUAGUAUCCUACAGUAGAAAAAGUUGCAGGGAAGACAAAAGAAGGUAGAGCUUGAAGACAUGAGAAGCUGUUCUAAAGCCUGAAACACGUUUGUGGAAGAAAAGAAUAGACCAACUCUAAGCAGCUUUAGGCUUGGGUGUCCUCUUCUUCAGGUUGCUGCUCUUUGAGGAGGUCGUCGUCCUCGAAUUCUUCAUUCCGAUGAAAAAUAGCAAUGCCCCGAGAAGCGCAACACUCUGCGAUAAAACAUUACAAUAUGCCAUAAGAGGACCAUUUUUUAUUGUCAGGGCAAACGCAAAGCU
rnacentral:lncRNA from 1 species